AUUGAACGCUGGCGGCAUGCUUUACACAUGCAAGUCGAACGGUAACAGGCCGCAAGGUGCUGACGAGUGGCGAACGGGUGAGUAAUGCAUCGGGACGUGCCCAGUCGUGGGGGAUAACGCAGCGAAAGCUGUGCUAAUACCGCAUACGAUCUGUGGAUGAAAGCGGGGGACCGAAAGGCCUCGCGCGAUUGGAGCGGCCGAUGUCAGAUUAGGUAGUUGGUGGGGUAAAGGCUCACCAAGCCAACGAUCUGUAGCUGGUCUGAGAGGACGACCAGCCACACUGGGACUGAGACACGGCCCAGACUCCUACGGGAGGCAGCAGUGGGGAAUUUUGGACAAUGGGCGCAAGCCUGAUCCAGCAAUGCCGCGUGCAGGAAGAAGGCCUUCGGGUUGUAAACUGCUUUUGUACGGAGCGAAAAGGCUCUCUCUAAUACAGGGGGCUCAAGACGGUACCGUAAGAAUAAGCACCGGCUAACUACGUGCCAGCAGCCGCUGUAAUAC
rnacentral:rRNA from 1 species